rnacentral:rRNA from 1 species
GUGGGGAAUAUUGGACAAUGGGCGCAAGCCUGAUCCAGCCAUGCCGCGUGAGUGAUGAAGGCCUUAGGGUUGUAAAGCUCUUUCAGCUGGGAAGAUAAUGACGGUACCAGCAGAAGAAGCCCCGGCUAACUUCGUGCCAGCAGCCGCGGUAAUACGAAGGGGGCUAGCGUUGUUCGGAAUCACUGGGCGUAAAGCGCACGUAGGCGGAUCAAUAAGUCAGGGGUGAAAUCCCGAGGCUCAACCUCGGAACUGCCUUUGAUACUGUUGACCUUGAGUCCGGGAGAGGUGAGUGGAACUCCGAGUGUAGAGGUGAAAUUCGUAGAUAUUCGGAAGAACACCAGUGGCGAAGGCGGCUCACUGGCCCGGUACUGACGCUGAGGUGCGAAAGCGUGGGGAGCAAACAGGAUUAGAAACCCCUGUAGUCC